rnacentral:rRNA from 1 species
GACGAACGCUGGCGGCGCGCUUAACACAUGCAAGUCGAACGGAAAGGCCUGCUUUCCCUUGUGGAUUGCGGGUACUCGAGUGGCGAACGGGUGAGUAACACGUGAGUGAUCUGCCCCCAACUUGGGUAUAAGCCUGGGAAACUGGGUCUAAUUCCCGAUAGGACUGCAGGGUGGUGCCUGUGGUGGAAAACGAUUUUCUAGUGGUUGGGGAUGAGCUCGCGGCCUAUCAGCUUGUUGGUGGGGUAAUGGCCUACCAAGGCGGCGACGGGUAGCCGGCCUGAGAGGGUGGACGGCCACAUUGGGACUGAGAUACGGCCCAGACUCCUACGGGAGGCAGCAGUGGGGAAUAUUGCACAAUGGGCGGAAGCCUGAGGCAGCGACGCCGCGUGGGGGAUGACGGCCUUCGGGUUGUAAACUCCUUUCGACCGCGAGGAAGCCACCUGGUUGGAAGGGUGGUGACGGUAGUGGUAGAAGAAGCGCCGGCUAACUACGUG